CAGAAACCAAUGGCUGCAUUAAAUGAGUCUAUAGAAGAUUUUUCAUCUCUGGACAUGUCUAAUUGCAGAGCUCUAAUUGGAGGAACGUGUGGCAGUAUCUGAAAGGAGAAAAUAGUUAAAAAAUGAUGCUCAAAGAAGUUAAAUAACUGGCCCAAAUUCACAAAAAAAGAUAAAGUAAGGUGUGGAUGUGAAGGACUCAGGGCCAUGUCCAGCAUGGGCAACAGCAAUAGCAGCACUUAUGCAAUGGAAAGAUGAUCCACAGCCCAGAUGAAAUUAAAGCCUUUGGUGAAAAAGAUAAAUCCAAACAGGGUCUUGUUCUGUCACCCAGGCUGGAGUGGCAUGAUCAUGGCUCACUGCAACUUCUGCCUCCCUGGCUCCCAGCCUCAAGUGAUCCUCCCACUCCAGUCCCCUGAAGCAACUGGGACCAUAGGUAAUUUUAUGCUGAUUGAAGAAAAGAAGUAAACAGAGUUCCAGAAAGCAACUGCAAAUACUCAUUUUGAAAAAGAAAACAAAACAAAAACAAGGGAGACAUUUUAAAAGUGCUAAAGCAACAGGACCAGUUGCCAGAGAGCUUAUUUUACCUCCCCAAAACAAGAUUGGUGUUUCAUCCUUGAGUUUAGUACACAAGAUUGUUCUUAUUCUUCUGCAGAUAGAGAGGUGCACUGCUUUAUGCUGCAAGUUGUCUAUAAGACAAGUUUUUUGUGACAGCCAGAAAUGUCUCCAGACACUGCCAAAUGUCUCCUGGGGGACAAAACCACCCCUGGUUGAGAAUCUUUGAUAUAAUGUAAAUAUGCAUUUUACCUAUGUAUAUGUUUAUUGUUCCUCCCUUCACCACCAAUAAAAUAUAAUCUC
rnacentral:lncRNA from 1 species